rnacentral:rRNA from 1 species
AUGAACGCUGGCGGCGUGCCUCAUACAUGCAAGUCGCGCGAACAGACGAGGAGCUUGCUCCUCUGACGUUAGCGGCGGACGGGUGAGUAACACGUGGAUAACCUACCUAUAAGACUGGGAUAACUUCGGGAAACCGGAGCUAAUACCGGAUAAUAUAUUGAACCGCAUGGUUCAAUAGUGAAAGACGGUUUUGCUGUCACUUAUAGAUGGAUCCGCGCCGCAUUGGCUAGUUGGUAAGGUAACGGCUUACCAAGGCAACGAUGCGUAGCCGACCUGAGAGGGUGAUCGGCCACACUGGAACUGAGACACGGUCCAGACUCCUACGGGAGGCAGCAGUAGGGAAUCUUCCGCAAUGGGCGAAAGCCUGACGGAGCAACGCCGCGUGAGUGAUGAAGGUCUUCGGAUCGUAAAACUCUGUUAUUAGGGAAGAACAAAUGUGUAAGUAACUAUGCACGUCUUGACGGUACCUAAUCAGAAAGCCACGGCUAACUACGUG